AGAGAGAGAGAGAUUGAGAAGUACAGAUCGAGAGAGAGAAAAUGAGAGAACGGUUACAAAUUUGAUUUUAAGUUUUCUGCUUCCGAUGUAAAUUGAUUAAAAGGAUAUAAACAAUAGAUUUGUAAGAUUAGAUCCAGGUUGGAGAUUCAGUUUAAUGAUCUUAUCAAUUUUGGACUGCUAAAGUUGCUCCUGAUGGUGAUGUUUUUGAUUCGUAUUAUACUCGUGUUUAAGGUGUUUUUAGGUGUAGAGACUAUCCAAGAAACUGAGGAGAUAAUUAACGAAAUGAAAGAAAAUGACCCGAUGCGGCUACUGAAUCUAGAAGUUCUAAGGAUAGUGUGUCGUAUCCAAGUAUUGCUCAUGAUUUUCUUUUAUCUUUCGUGGUCGUCGUUUGCAUAUCUAGAGAUGUUGGCCAGUUCGAAUUGUUUUUGUGGUGGAUUUGUGAUAAUGAGGUGAUGAAGAUGUAAAAUGUGGUGAUUGUUGUUGCUCACAUUAAUUAGAUUAUUGAUGCAAUUGUGGUGAUUUUUGAAACUUUCUGAAGGUAUAUAUGAUUUUCAUUUUAUGAAGAUAUUAAUCA